AGGACAAGGUGAGUAGCUGUUUUAAAAGGUAUUUAAAAAUUUUACAAGUGAUAUUAUAAAGUAAUGGUAAACAGUAAUUUAGCUGAGUUAUCCAGGCAAACUUACCUCUCAUAAUGCAGUAGAACAUUGUAGUGGUCCCUGCAAUUACUUUUGUAAUUAUGCCACUCGUUAUUUUGUGGUGUUACCAUCUGUUUGAUAAAGACAGAAAGGAGUCCUCUCCUACCACCCUUUUCAUGUAAACAGAGAAAGGUGCCAAAGCCUAAUUUAAAGUACAUAAGUUACUAAACUUAUGUCUUAGGAAGCAAUCUGCUCUACAGCUAACUCAGGAAAGAGGAACCAUCCCCCUGCACCUCUAUACUCACGUGCCUGCUGCUCCCUCUGCACACCUCUGCUCUGAUCCCGUCCUGCUCUGUUGGGACUCAAGCUUAGCACGUGCACUGAAUGCUUUUGAGGAGCAGGACUUCACUGUACAAAACACCAGGAGGGUAAUUUGGCCUUCUUGGUAGCAAACAUCCCAAACUGAAGAGGAGACAAGUUGUAGAUGCUAGUAGACACCAGAGGAGCUGGGAACCUGCUUUUCAUGACAACUUUUUAUCCUACUGGAUACAAAAUACAUUGCAAUAAUCAGCACACUCCAAUCUCAGCUCUGAUUCCUUAAGUAUGAUGGUUUUUACAUGUGGAUACUUAUAGUCUCCAGCAUAUUUUCUGUGGAUGUAGGGUUUGGUUUGUUUUUUUUAAUUAUUGCAGAGUAAUAUAUGAUAGCAAGAUCUGUCAUUUGUGAUAAGCUAUAUAUUUCCACAUGUCAUUUGUCCCGCUCAUGUAGGCUGUGUGAAUAUACCCACCUUUUAUUUUCUUUGAAAGGCUGUAUUUCUCCUUGGGUACUGAUGUACCAGGAUCAGAGCUAAUGUUGAAUUUUGGCAAUAGUAACAAAUGCAAUUGCUUUUGCUGAGUGUGCUCCAAGCAUAGCAGGAGUAUCAAGAGCUCACUGCAACUACCCUACCUGAAGUCUGCAGGAGCAGAACAAGUUACUUUUAUUUAUUAUGAUCAUAAACUUGAAUUUACCCUGAGUGCCCAAGAAACCAUGGUCUCAUUUGCUGUCUCUUUCUGCAAGUGCUUCUUUUUUGGUGUUUUCUUGAUCCCCAGCAUAGCACCCAAGUCCAUGUUUUUUUUCAAGAAUACCUCUGGGGUUUUUUUGAUGGAGAAUAAUAGUCAGCAGCCCUGCCAUGCCACUUCACCUUGCAAGCUUGCAGUCCAACCAGCAUUCAGCUGUCCCGAUCUCACAAGCACAGGCCCCUCUGAUCUCUUAUCGACAUCUAAACUGCAGCCGUAGCUCUCCAGGACCUGGGAAAAGAACCUGCAACUGAGAUAUCUACCACUUCUCUACCCCACCAUCAGGCAAGGAGAGAAACUUCUUGUGCUUUUGUCUGUGCUGGGAGUACUUCAACACUGAGGAAUCUGUGCCUAGAGGAGUCACAAUACAAAAUGUGCCUGUAUCUGCAGUAAAACAGUUUUAAGCUUCAGCUGGAGAACACACUCUCACAUCACUGCUGCCAGCUCUGAGCAUCCAGCAAGGCUUGUGUCUCACAGUUAUUGAGAAAAGGAUCCAAAUGUGAAGCAAGUUUUGCUUCGAUGGUUCAAAACCAGCAGACAAUACAUAGAACCAGAACUGCCCCAAUGUGGUUGGAUGCCUGUUACAAUAUGAACAUGGACCCACAGUCUUUCUUUGCACUACCUUGGUGCUAUUAAAAUCCACCAAGUUUUCCCUUUCUGAGUGGUACUGCGUGGCGAAUCCUCCACCUGGCUUCCCUCUGCUUCCCUGCUUCUUCUCAGGCAUGUGCCAAGGUCAGUGCUCUGGCUCCAGUCUAAUCAUUCAUUCCAAAUGUUUCCCACCUUCUUUUCUGAGUAGUUUUGGAGAUGAGGGACUUUUAGUCUUAUGUAUCAUAACAUUUACGACAAAACCAUUUUGGUUUUGUUCUUGCAUUUUUUUCUGGGCUCUUUAAUUUCAAAGGUUUUAAAGCCUCUAUAAAGUUUGGAAGAUUUUCAGGUUUAACAUGAGCACAGAACGUGGGAAGUUUCACCUGAGCUGGGAUUUUGCAGUUGAUCAUUAAAUCAGCAGUACCACAUGAUCAUAGCUGGGAAGAGCAGUGGUUACUAUGCCAUUUGAUGAAGUCAUUCUCUUCUGUGCAUGAAUUGACUCAUAUUUCUUCGCUAUUUAAAAUCAAAUUAAAAAGAAGUGCCACACAACACACUCAGUAGGCAUUAUUUCUGUGGGUUAUCUUGACUUUUAAGCCCACAGCACAGUUUUCUGGUGCCUGACUCACACAGAAGCUCCACGCAUUUGCACAGAACAGUGUCUCCAUCCUCCUCCCCCACUAUCCCGUCCCCCUGCCUUACCCAUCCCAGAUAAGUAGUCCAAUAGCAUCCUGGUUUUUGACUCACUCCUCUGGCAAAGGCUCUCUCUGAGGCACAUCCCAGCCUCCAGCCUGCACCACUGCUCCCCUGGGCUGCCCUGCUCAUUCUCUCACUCCCAUUUUACUUGACAGCUGUUUAUCUUCCUCUUUUAUUCAAGCUCAACUCCUCUGCUUUUAUUUCUGGCAGGGUUAUUUUUCUAUUUGACUUUGUCUGUUUGCCAAGGCCACACCCUUAUCACCUCCUUAAUCCGAUCCUCUCCUUUGAUGACUAAAGGUCUUCCUCUCCUUCCUUUUAUUAGUACUUUUAUCUCUUUCUCCAUUAUCUUUUAGUCCCCUUGAUUCUUACCCCUCUCUUUUGCAUAUCAAGUUUGUUUUACAUGUUACUUGGGGGAUUUGAGACUUUUCUCCUUGACAGCUUUUCUUCCCUAGCCCCUGGAAGGUUCUCCAUGCUGCUGGACACAUGGCAAAGAGCAAAUACAUUUAUUACUCCAGAUGGGACAACUGCAAUCCAAGAUGGAGAGUGACUCUGGGCUGGGUUGAUCUCAGCAGCUCCCUACUGUCAUCUUAGCCAUUCCCCAUAUUUUUACAAGACCAUGUUUUUCCUCUUUUGCAGUCACAUCUUUGCAGCUGGGAUACCGCUUACUUAAGGUAUUUGAGGUAAGAGAAGGUUUAAAGCAAUGCUGAGAGUUUGCUGCAGAUCUGAGUGAUCAAAAAAGGGUGCAGCAGCAUCACAGUGUAGGUUUCUAUUUUCAGUUCCACUGCUGCUGGCCUCUUUUGUCACUCACUGACAAUGCCUGAAAUAUGGCUAAAGACAAAAUAUUUAUGACAGUGGCUGGAAAUUGUGCAGCUGGGCAGGAUGUCACAUCAAUCACAGCAUCACCUGGGUGCUUUACAUCGCCAGCAUAGCAGUGUUCAUGAUUUUCUAGCUUUUCAAAAACAUUGUAUUUCUCUCAGAUUUUGCCAGGAUAAAGGCAGAAGUGAGAAGAUAAGGAAUUUUCUUUUAUUAAUCUCUCUUGGUUGAGCUCUCCUUUCUCUGUGUUUUGUAUUUUUAUCAACUAAGGCAGCAAGAGUCCUGGCAUGUACAAAGCAGUCCAGGAUUAACAGGGAACCUGCUGCCACUAAAAAUCGUAACAAACCGAGGACUGAUCCUACCUGCCCGCCAAGCUUGAUUUUGCAUCUCUUCAGCCAAAUGAAGAGAUGCAGAUCUUUCCUCUGGCUGCAUGGAGCAGACUCCUGCUGAUACAGGAGAUAUCCUGCUCCUCCUAUAGGACUCCUGGUCCUAUAGGGACCAGGAUAAUUCCUAAGAGCCAUGCAGGUGUCCAACCAAGCAAAUCCUCCCUGAAAUAUUGCACUCUUUCAUCAUCUACCCGACCUAACCUCCCUUAUUCCAAAUAAGUCUUUGCAUUUCAGAUUUCCACAGCAGCAAGUUGACAUUAACAGUGUAUAACCAAGUCUGGGCUGUCCAAACAUACCCAUCAAAUGCCAAUGUAACUCGCCUGUGACCCCACUGCUGAAGAGGAGGUGCAUGGCACACUGGCAGAGAUACACAGGGUUGUUCCUAGAAGAUGCCUGUUCCAAAGCUGGAUUGGAACUCCUGCUUCCUACUCUCCAGGCCUUUAUCUAAUCUUGAAGCAGUGCAGCUUUGCCAGAUUCCGUUGUCUAACCAAAGUGCAAAAGCUGCUUUCAGGUGGGAAUUUUACUUAGGACUAUGUAAAAUGUGUAGGCACAAAGAGCUUCAAAAGACCAGGUCAUUCAUUCCAGGUCUCACUGAAUUCUUUCCCUGUCCACACUUCCCAGGGUCACUUCUCAAACUCUGGCCUAUGUUUUCAACAGCUGGAGAAACCAUUGACCAUAUCAUACAAAAGUAAAUACUUAAUUUUUUUUCCACAACAAAAGGAGAGCCACUCCUACAAAAUCCUCUUCAGCUCUGUGAGUCCAGGUUGCUGGUUUUCUCCAUGUAGGCAUGUAAAAAUCAUGAAUUGUGAAAAAAAGGGUGAUGAAAUGCUCUUUGGAGCACUUGCAGAAUAGCCAUAAUUUAGAUAAUGGCUUUUUUUUUUUACUCUGAGUGGAGUUUGGGCCAUUUGGGAGUUGAUCAUUGAACAUUGAUAUGAAUAGGAAGGGGAGCAUAACAUAAAGAGGACAGCAACAACCUUGAGGUUGGGAGACUUGUGUGGUUGCUGGUGUCAUAUGCUGAAGCAGAAAUUCAUUUGACAUUUUGGAAGGGGAAGACAGUGCUGGUCAGUCCUGGCUGCUGCACUGGGUACAUGCUGAUUCAUUUGGCUACAAGGGUAAUGCAUCUUGCAGCAGAAAGGAGGCUUGUGUCUGUGCAGUUUUCAGGGGGGAUUGUGCCAUCACACCCUAUAAACAGCAAACAGUGUCAGAUUGUGAAAGGGCUUGUGCCAAUACAUCUCACCUGUGACGUUUUUGGCAGGCCAUCUAACCAACACCCAGGGAAGGCUCACAAACUGGUGACACACCAUCUCCUCCUUUUGCAGUCUUUCCUGGUGAAGGUCAUUUAGGAUCCCAGAAGAAACUGUACCUGAAAACCAGAGUCCUCAGUCACAGACAGAGUGGAGGUGCAGUGCAUGUAAAGCUGUGAAAGUACGUCAGGAAACCCAGGCCAUUCACAUGAGGAGUGAUCACCACAUUUCACUCUGUGGACUUGCUUCUGCUGAGGAUUUUGAAAAAUCUUCCAGGCAUAUGUCUGCUUUACUAUAAAAUGGGAAGGCUGAGGAACUUGCCCACAAUUAUGUGAAAGUCAGUGAGUGGCAGAGCAAAAAGGUGAGCCUGGCUGUGCUUUUCCCCUUCCCUGCAGUUGCUGGCCUGCCAUCUGAUGACAUUACCAGUGGCACAUCCAAUUCCAUUUCCUGAAACCAACUAAGCUCAAACAAUAUGAGUCCAGGAAGCAACAGCUACACAAAAUAAAAAGAAGGAAGGUUUCAGAAAAAGAAUCUCAUGAGUUCCCAGUUUGCUGUAGUGGUUGCUCCUGUUGGGCUGAGCCAUGGCUUGGCAGAGCCUGUAGUGGGGACCAGGCAGGCUGAGGGACAGCACCCUCCUGCCUCGCAGAGCCUCCAGCUCCCUUCUGCAUCCCCGACAGGACUAAACAGUGCAAAGUGGCUGCAAUGUUGUAGGCAGGGUGGUUUGGUUUGUAGUGCAGAUAGGCCUUUGUAGUGUGGGUGUGGAGCAGUCUGUUCCAAGGGACGUGCAAUCUCCUGUGACACGGGUUUGGAGCAGCCGUGAGCUCACCAGUCUGCGAGGAAAUGGUCGGCUGCCAAACACGGCUGUUAGCAGAGGUGACAGGACAGCCAGGCAAUGUGAGGAAUGAUUUGGCAUCAGCCAAAGCCCUUGGGAUGGAAACAUGCACACCAUGGGAUGGGCUUGCCAUGUCUCUGAGCACUGGCUGCACCCAGCUCCCAAGCAGGGAUGUUUGAUCCAUGUGGAAAUCAGAGACACGCAGAAAUGAAAGCAAGCAGUCUUCAGGCACAGAAAGCUUGGGGAGGGAGCCAGGGAGCAGCACCAGUGUCUAUCCUUCCCUGCCUCCCUGACGGCUCUCUGGAAACCCCCUCGGGCUCCCCCACCUUGCCAGGGCUCCUGGCUGUUCACUGUGCCAUGGGCUCACAGUGUGAGCAGGAAAAGGACCUGGCUGGGGAGGUGGUUUCUUCCACCCACAGAUACACAUGCAAACACAGAGUGUAUGCUUGUUUAAAUAAAGUGACGUUGAAGAAAGGUGACUUGUGUCAACACACAGAGACUAAUUUACAUGCUGCAGUGUGUAGCAAUAUGGUGUCAGGUAAGAGCUGGCACAUUUUUCAUGUCCAGCCAUGUACACAUAAUGAUAUCACAGGGGGAGAUGAGCUGCUGUGGAAUUAAAGUGUGGUUUUUUUAAUGGCACCUAGGAAACAGGAUACUGGAAAUCCUUGAACAUUCAAUAACUUCUCAGCCAGUGCCUCUAACAGUCUGCAGAUUAUUUAAGAUUUUACUAUAUCCCUUUACAAAUAAGAGUUCAGUUCUUUAGAUAUUGAGCAGCCUCCAUUCUAAAUAGGGACAGCUGAAACUUUUUGCAAAGCUUUUCUCUACCUUUGUCUGAGGAUUUGUGACAACCAAGUGGCUUCUGCGCUUCCAGAAGUGAGACUGGCAAACUGUUGGCCAUGAGCCCAUUUGAUUAAAGAAGAGAAAAAACAGUCCUGCAGUCCUAGACAGAUGACAAGAUGAAGCUGUCUUGUACAACAGCCAUGGAAACCUCAGGCUCCUGGUGUUCUGACUCUGGCUAUGAUUUUCCACGGUGACCAAGAGAUUUAUUUAAUCCUUUCACUACUUCUUUGUAGUCUUGGAUCUUUGAGGUGUCAGAAGGAAUCAUCAAAUCAACACCUGCAACACAUUAUAAGGGAACAUCUUGUGCUGUGUCACUGCAGGGGAAAAAAAAAUACUUCCUUUCUAAACACUUUCUUUUUCCCCUCUAAUAUAUUUUACAAGUUGAGGAAUACAAGCUUUUUCAAAAAAUAAAACUAACUGAAAAUUUGGACCCCUUUGCAAUGAAUGUGAUCCCAAAGCUAACAUCUUGUUUUUUUCACAUGUGAUUA